rnacentral:rRNA from 1 species
CCUACGGGUGGCUGCAGUGGGGAAUAUUGGACAAUGGGGGGAACCCUGAUCCAGCCAUGCCGCGUGUGUGAAGAAGGCCCUCGGGUUGUAAAGCACUUUCAGUGAGGAAGAACGCCUGGUGGUUAAUACCCAUCAGGAAAGACAUCACUCACAGAAGAAGCACCGGCUAACUCCGUGCCAGCAGCCGCGGUAAUACGGAGGGUGCGAGCGUUAAUCGGAAUUACUGGGCGUAAAGCGCGCGUAGGUGGCUUGAUAAGCCGGUUGUGAAAGCCCCGGGCUCAACCUGGGAACGGCAUCCGGAACUGUCAAGCUAGAGUGCAGGAGAGGAAGGUAGAAUUCCAGGUGUAGAGGUGAAAUGCGUAGAGAUCGGGAGGAAUACCAGUGGCGAAGGCGGCCUUCUGGACUGACACUGACACUGAGGUGCGAAAGCGUGGGUAGCAAACAGGAUUAGAUACCCUAGUAGUC